rnacentral:rRNA from 1 species
GAAGUGAGAAUGCCGGUGUGAGUAGCGAAAGACGGGUGAGAAUCCCGUCCACCGAUUGACUAAGGUUUCCAGAGGAAGGCUCGUCCGCUCUGGGUUAGUCGGGUCCUAAGCUGAGGCCGACAGGCGUAGGCGAUGGAUAACAGGUUGAUAUUCCUGUACCACCUAUAAUCGUUUUAAUCGAUGGGGGGACGCAGUAGGAUAGGCGAAGCGUGCGAUUGGAUUGCACGUCUAAGCAGUAAGGCUGAGUAUUAGGCAAAUCCGGUACUCGUUAAGGCUGAGCUGUGAUGGGGAGAAGACAUUGUGUCUUCGAGUCGUUGAUUUCACACUGCCGAGAAAAGCCUCUAGAUAGAAAAUAGGUGCCCGUACCGCAAACCGACACAGGUAGUCAAGAUGAGAAUUCUAAGGUGAGCGAGCGAACUCUCGUUAAGGAACUCGGCAAAAUGACCCCGUAACUUCGGGAGAAGGGGUGCUCUUUAGGGUUAACGCCCAGAAGAGCCGCAGUGAAUAGGCCCAAGCGACUGUUUAUCAAAAACACAGGUCUCUGCUAAACCGUAAGGUGAUGUAUAGGGGCUGACGCCUGCCCGGUGCUGGAAGGUUAAGAGGA